ACACCUCAACUCUCACGGUCCGCCGUGAUGAGCUUGGACUUUGGGGGUCUUGCCGGCCUAGCGUCGGCUCCUCUCAAAUGGAUCAGCCUGCCAGUGUUUGGUGGGAUCACAGGUGUGAUAACUAUCUACGCUUGUGGUUUCCUGCCAUGUAACCUUCAGCGAUGGGGGUUCGCUGGAGCUCACAGAUGUCCCUUCCUUCGCGAGGACAGCUUUUUGAAC
rnacentral:misc_RNA from 2 species